CUACGCAGCGACAGUUGCACAUUUUAGUUCGCCGUGUUUUCGCGUUAUGAACAAAUUGUGAGAUGUGUAGUGAAGUUGGAGGACUCACCCAAGAGUUAUUGUAGUCCGGCACGCUGGAUUGCAACGCGGUCACUCCUCGGUUUCUACAAGAGUUUUGUGAUGAAAAAGAAGCAGAAGAUCAGAAUGUGUGGAAAUAUUUUACACGGCUUUGCCGGUUUUACGUCUUUCUCCUCUGGCUACUGUGCAUUUGGUCCUAAGCAAAUACUGACUCAACCCUUGCGGCGCUCUCUGGCCCGUGGGCUCUUCUCAUCGCGGACUAAUUAUUGUCUCACGCACCCUCCCGACUCUCCCACAAAUACUCGAAAAAGCAACCAAAUCAUGAAAUACAUACUCGACUUUACGUGUGAAGUAAGUAAAUCCUCACAUUUGCCCGUUGUUUGUUUGUGUGCAUGUGCGCUUGUGCGUUCGCCCGCACUCUGUGAUUUUCGAUUUUCGGUUUUCGGAGGCAUACCUUACGUGCCUCGAUAAUUGUACGCAAACACGCCACACAAGUCCCACUCGAGUGUGGA